GAUUUAUAAAGAAGAGGUGAGAGAACAGGCUCGAAGACCCUCUGGCAACCACCCCGACACAUCGGGAAAGGUGCCAAAACCUGCCCGAAUAAGCGGGGACUAUAAAUU
rnacentral:ncRNA from 2 species